rnacentral:rRNA from 1 species
CCUACGGGUGGCAGCAGUGGGGAAUAUUGCACAAUGGGGGGAACCCUGAUGCAGCAAUGCCGCGUGGGUGAAGAAGCACUCCGGUGCGUAAAGCCCUGUCAGCAGGGAAGAAACUGCCAGUACCUGGACAAGAAGCCCCGGUAAACUACGUGCCAGCAGCCGCCGUAAUACGUGGGGGGCAAGCGUUAUCCGGAUUUGCUGGGGGUAAGGGGAGCGCGGGUGGCGUGGCAAGUAAGAGGUAAAAACCCGGGGCCAAACCCCGGGAGGGCAUUUGAAACGGCCAUGCUGCAGUGCCGUGGAGGUAGGCGAAAUUCCGGUGUAGCGGUGAAAUGCGUAGAUAUUAGGAGGAACACCAGUGGCGGAGGCGACUUACUGGACGGUAACUGACGCUGAGGCUCGAAAGCGUGGGGAGCAAACAGGAUUAGAUACCCUUGUAGUC